ensembl:lncRNA
UACUGGUGUUAUCUAAUAUAAUUUUAACCUAAUUGAUGAACUCAAUGCGAGGGUUAAUUAAGUGAUUGAUGGUUGUUUAUGUCUAUGCAAUUUCACGUAUUGCUGUAAACUUGGGAUUUCACAUUUUCAUUCUCUUAAACCCAUCCUUUCCUAACUCUCUAUCCUCCUGCAACUGUGUGAAUGUGUGAGUGCGUGUGCUUAUGUGUUAGAUUAGUUUAUAUGUCUUAGAUUUAUCUAAUAAAGCCUUAUUUAUGUUGAAAAGAGAAGUAUCUUGUGUUUUGUGCUUACAAGUUAAUGUCUUAAACUGCCGAUCUUGUUACUGUGCUAAUUAAUAGUGUUGUCACUAUACUUUGGAUAUUAAUAUCCAGCGCAGAUUUGAUGUUAUACGGCUCGUUCAGUGAAUCGCUGGCCGUUUCAUUGCUCAGCCGUGAAACAGUGAUUCUGUUCAAAUUCCCUUGAAAAUCUUAAAUGAUUCCCUUUGAGCUAAAUUGACCUGUUUCCCUUACAGAUAAGUGGGGUUAUUAAAGCACAAUUCCCGACCAGAACACACUAAUUUUCAAAGCCUGGAUAAGGCCACGGUGCCUUCCAUUCCCCCAGUGUGUUUCUCCUUUUCACAGUCUGGCAGAAAUUAUGGAUGGUUCCAAAAUACAUCUUCACAUGACAGUAAAAGUGUACAGUUGCCAAGAUGUAGGAGGUGGGUCAACAUACCCACUGGCUCAACUUACCCCACUCUCCCCUACUUCCAUUGAAGAUGAAGGCAGAAGCAGUCUCAGAGAGUGAGGGAGAGCCCAGUCUUAUUACAGUUAGUACAGAGUGUGCUGUCUUCUCUUUUAAUUGUAUAUUUGUAACAACUGGAUAAUUUGUAUUAACAAGCACCCACCACCCCCCUAGUGCCCCAUUUUUGGUUUGGCCACUGCCCCUCAAAAUGUCUGUGGACGACCCUGGUUCCUACACACCUGACUGGAAGCUUUCAUUGAUCCUAGUGACCUUGAUUAGCUGGUUCAGGUGUGUUUAAUUAGGACUGGAGAUAAACUUUGGCCUCGUCCACACGGAGACGCG